rnacentral:rRNA from 1 species
GACGAACGCUGGCGGCGCGCUUAACACAUGCAAGUCGAGCGAAGCGGCGGACGGGUGAGUACCACGUGAGUAACCUGCCUUAGACCUUGGGAUAGCCUCGGGAAACCGGUAUUAAUACCAAAUGGUCUAAGAUGGGCUCGCGUCCCAUUUGCUAGUUGGUGAGGUAACGGCCCACCAAGGCGACGAUGGGUAGCCGGCCUGAGAGAGUGAACGGCGACAUUGGAACUGAGCAGCGGUCCAAACUCUACGGGAGGCAGCAGUGGGGAAUACUGCACAAUGGAGGGAACGCUGAUGCAGCGACGCCGCGUGAACGAAGAAGGCUUUCGAGACGUAAAGUUCUUUUAUAUGGGAAGCGGUACCAUAAGAAAAAGCCCCGGCUAACUACGUGCCAGCAGCCGCGGUAAUAC